rnacentral:rRNA from 1 species
GAUGAACGCUGGCGGCGUGCCUAAUACAUGCAAGUCGAGCGGAAAGACGAGGCGCUUGCUCCUCUGACGUUAGCGGAGGGCGGGUGAGUCACACGUGGAUACCCUACCUAUAAGACUGGGAUAACUUGGGGAAACCGGAGAUAAUCCCGGAUAAUAUAUUGAACCGCAUGGGUGAAUAGUGAAAGACGGUUUUGCGGUAACGUAUAGCUGGAUCCGAGCCGGUUUAGCUAGUUGGUAAGGUUACGGGUUACGAAGGCGACGAGGCGUGGCCGACCUGUGAGGGGGAUCGGCCACAUGGGAACGUAGACACGCUCCAUACUCCUACGGUACGCAGCAGUAUGGAACCUGCCGCAAUGGUCGAAAGCCUUACGGAGCAGCGCCGCGUGUGUUAUGAAGGCCUUCCGAUCGUAAAACUCGGUUAUUAGUUAAGAACAAAUUUCGAAGUAACUAUGCACUGCUUGACGGUACCGAGUCAGAAAGCCACGGCUAACUACGUG